CAGUUCGGAUUGUAGUCUGCAACCCGACUACAUGAAGCUGGAAUCGCUAGUAAUCGCGGAUCAGAAUGCCGCGGUGAAUACGUUCCCGGGUCUUGUACACACCGCCCGUCACACCAUGGGAGUCGGAAAUGCCCGAAGUCAGUGACCCAACCGUAAGGAGGGAGCUGCCGAAGGUGGAGCCGGUAACUGGGGUGAAGUCGUAACAAGGUAGC
rnacentral:rRNA from 1 species